AGUUUGAUCCUGGCUCAGGAUGAACGCUAGCUACAGGCUUAACACAUGCAAGUCGAGGGGAAACGACAUCGAAAGCUUGCUUUUGAUGGGCGUCGACCGGCGCACGGGUGAGUAACGCGUAUCCAACCUGCCCACCACUUGGGGAUAACCUUGCGAAAGUAAGACUAAUACCCAAUGACGUCUCUAGAAGACAUCUGAAAGAGAUUAAAGAUUUAUCGGUGAUGGAUGGGGAUGCGUCUGAUUAGCUUGUUGGCGGGGUAACGGCCCACCAAGGCGACGAUCAGUAGGGGUUCUGAGAGGAAGGUCCCCCACAUUGGAACUGAGACACGGUCCAAACUCCUACGGGAGGCAGCAGUGAGGAAUAUUGGUCAAUGGACGAGAGUCUGAACCAGCCAAGUAGCGUGCAGGAUGACGGCCCUAUGGGUUGUAAACUGCUUUUAUAAGGGAAUAAAGUGAGUCUCGUGAGACUUUUUGCAUGUACCUUAUGAAUAAGGACCGGCUAAUUCCGUGCCAGCAGCCGCGGUAAUACGGAAGGUCCGGGCGUUAUCCGGAUUUAUUGGGUUUAAAGGGAGCGUAGGCCGGAGAUUAAGCGUGUUGUGAAAUGUAGACGCUCAACGUCUGCACUGCAGCGCGAACUGGUUUCCUUGAGUACGCACAAAGUGGGCGGAAUUCGUGGUGUAGCGGUGAAAUGCUUAGAUAUCACGAAGAACUCCGAUUGCGAAGGCAGCUCACUGGAGCGCAACUGACGCUGAAGCUCGAAAGUGCGGGUAUCGAACAGGAUUAGAUACCCUGGUAGUCCGCACGGUAAACGAUGGAUGCCCGCUGUUGGUCUGAAUAGGUCAGCGGCCAAGCGAAAGCAUUAAGCAUCCCACCUGGGGAGUACGCCGGCAACGGUGAAACUCAAAGGAAUUGACG
rnacentral:rRNA from 1 species